rnacentral:rRNA from 1 species
UACGUAGGGGGCAAGCGUUAUCCGGAAUUACUGGGUGUAAAGGGAGCGUAGACGGUUAAACAAGUCUGAAGUGAAAUGCCGGGGCUCAACCCCGGAGCUGCUUUGGGAACUGUAGAACUGGAGUGUCGGAGGGGUAAGCGGAAUUCCCAGUGUAGCGGUGAAAUGCGUAGAUAUUGGGAGGAACACCGGCGGCGAAGGCGGCUUACUGGACGACAACUGACGUUGAGGCUCGAAGGCGUGGGUAGCAAACAGG